GUGACCUCAAAUCAGGUAGGACUACCCGCUGAACUUAAGCAUAUCAAUAAGCGGAGGAAAAGAAACUAACAAGGAUUCCCCUAGUAACUGCGAGUGAAGCGGGAAAAGCUCAAAUUUAAAAUCUGGCGGUCUUUUGGCUGUCCGAGUUGUAAUCUAGAGAAGUGUUAUCCGCGCUGGACCGUGUACAAGUCUCCUGGAAUGGAGCAUCAUAGAGGGUGAGAAUCCCGUCUUUGACAUGGACUGCCAGGGCUUUGUGAUGCGCUCUCAAAGAGUCGAGUUGUUUGGGAAUGCAGCUCAAAAUGGGUGGUAAAUUCCAUCUAAAGCUAAAUAUUGGCGAGAGACCGAUAGCGAACAAGUACCGUGAGGGAAAGAUGAAAAGAACUUUGGAAAGAGAGUUAAACAGUACGUGAAAUUGCUGAAAGGGAAACGCUUGAAGUCAGUCGCGUCAUCCAGGGAUCAACCUUGCUUUUGCUUGGUGCACUUUCUGGUUUGAUGGGUCAGCAUCAAUUUUGACUGUUGGAAAAAGGUCAAGGGAAUGUGGCAUCUUUGGAUGUGUUUAUAGCCCUUGGUCACAUACAAUGGUUGGGAUUGAGGAACUCAG
rnacentral:rRNA from 1 species